GUGGGGAAUCUUCCGCAAUGGACGAAAGUCUGACGGAGCAACGCCGCGUGAACGAUGACGGCCUUCGGGUUGUAAAGUUCUGUUAUACGGGACGAAUGGUACGACGGCCAAUACCCGUCGUAAGUGACGGUACCGUAAGAGAAAGCCACGGCUAACUACGUGCCAGCAGCCGCGGUAAUACGUAGGUGGCAAGCGUUGUCCGGAAUUUUUGGGCGUAAAGGGCGCGCAGGCGGCGUCGUAAGUCGUUCUUAAAAGUGCGGGGCUUAACCCCGUGAGGGGACCGAAACUACGAUGGUAGAGUAUCGGAGAGGAAAGCGGAAUUCCUAGUGUAGCGGUGAAAUGCGUAGAUAUUAGGAGGAACACCAGUGGCGAAAGCGGCUUUCUGGACGACAACUGACGCUGAGGCGCGAAAGCCAGGGGAGCAAACGGGAUUAGAAACCCUUGUAGUCC
rnacentral:rRNA from 1 species